UAUUCUAUUUAUCAUUUUCUUUAUUCAUUGAAAUACUUGUAUAAAUAGGAGCAUGCAGAUGUACAGAAAAUACAAGGGAAAGAAAAUACAAUUGAAAAUCCUAUCUAGAGGUUCUCCUUUUCCGUGAUGGUAUCAGAGCAACAGCUCUUAAAGGAUUUUUUUUCCUUCUCAUUUUUUUUCAAUCCUUCCUCUUUCUCCAGUUCUUUUUUCUUGUUCUAAUUUUCCCCUCCAACUUCUUUUAUCUCCAUUUCUCUCUUUUUCUGUUUCACCUCUGCUUUGUGAUAAUUUGUAUUGAAAUGGGAGAUUCAAGCGCAGUUUCUGAAAAAUCUCCAAUUGCAGCUGGUGUUGUCAUAGUCUAUGAGAAGUUCGAUCCUCUCAUCCCUACUUCCUCAAUUCAGCAGAUUCUCCUAGAAUGAAUCUGAUCAAUAUGAGUUUCGAUGGAAGCAGUUAUGAAAUUUGGAGAAGGGGGGUUUUGAUCUCUCUCUCAGCUAAAAAUAAGUUGGGAUUUGUCAAUGGAAAAUGCUCAAAACCAGAUGUUGAUGCACCUUUAUUCACUCAAUGGAUAAGGUGUAAUGACAUGGUUAUAACAUGGUUGCUUAACUCUCUAAGUAAGGACAUCGCAGAGAAUGUGAUUUAUUCACAAACUGCAGAAGAAUUAUGGAAAGAGUUAGAGCAACGAUAUGGACAAACUGAUGGAACAAAAAUGUUCCAGUUGCAAAGGGAACUCAGCAGGAUAUCACAAGGAACCACUGAUGUAGCUGGCUAUUUCACAAAGAUAAAAAGGAUUUAGGAUCGGAUAAAGGAGCUGAAUACCUUCAUGAUUUGUAGUUGUGAAUGCUAGUGCGGGGCCAAGGAACAU
rnacentral:lncRNA from 1 species